UGGGAGGGAGCUGGUUUACUGCCGAUGGGCGGGACAGAUGCUUGAUGAAGCAAGUGAUUUUCUCUUACUAUCAACAUGUCUCUUCUGUUCACCUCUGGAGGACUCAGGACUGAAAGGCAUGUGACCUGGAUUGGGAGGAGAGAGGAUAGUAGCUCAAGGGACUAACUAGGCGUGGAGAAAGGCUCAGUAAUCUGAUGAAAAGGCAUGCAUCUUUAAUCUGGAGCCAAUAACAAGCACAUUUGAAUGACUGUGGACAGGACAAGAGAUCAGUGAUUUUUUUGGAGAGUUUUCCAGGACGGUAGAAAGUCAGAAGUUGGUGCUUGCUUCUUGAUGAAGUCGUAAAAUGCCUCCUCAUCUUCCUCUCUUCUUAUGGGCCACCUGACUCCACUAGCACAGGCAUGGGAUUGUACCCUUUCCCUGGAAGUAAGUCAUUCAAGAGUAGGUUCAUUCAUUUGAGCAGAUUUGUCAACAUCAGUAUGCAAAGAAGAUACUGGUUUGCCAUGCUGGUCUGUACUGAUUCAAAAAAGCACUGCCCGUCUUGAACAGAUUCAGUGUCUCCUAUGAUCUGGGAAAGGAAUAUUGAGGUUGCUUUGAAAUGACAUCUUAAAGGGCAUUUCUAUUCUGUCUAAGCUGUUCAAGUGUAAAAGUCAAGAGCUUAAAACCUACAUAAGGACUUGGUGAAGGCUGAUGUGUGUGGGGGGGGGCACAUGUGUGUAUAUCCUGCCAUACUCACUCACACUUACACCCCCAAAAGACGAGUACACUUCUAGACUUUCUCAGAGACAAUUCCACACCCUCCACUAAUUAUGAGUUCCAGGAGCUUACAAAAUUUAUUGUUAAGAAGUUAAAAUUUUCAGUAACGUUUAUUCAUUUUCUGUGUGUUCCAAAUACAGUGCAAACUCAUGCAGAGCUUGUAAACUAGUAUGCUCAUAAGUGGGCCUCUGUGCUAACGAACUUCUGCCUUCACCUGAAACCUACACAGCGUUAAUAGCUGAAAUUUCCACCCGUCCUUCAGUAUAGCUUUCCACAGCAACCAGAAAAAAACACGACCAAAUAUUUCACAUGCUUUGUCUAGCCCCAAGUCAGGCUGAGUUCCAGGAAGAAAAGGUGAUGGAGAAAGGGGAGUGGCUGCAGUAAGCCCUAUCAUUAUGCAGGAAGACCUCAACAAAAUGCAAAAAACAUCAAGUAAAAGAUUUCAUCAACGUUUAAAACGUAGGCACCGAAGACAUCUAUAGUUUUAAAACACAACAAAUUAGAAGAUAUCUACCACAUAUAUAAAAAUAAUUUGUGUCCAGAAUAUUCCAAGAAUUCCUACAAAUCAGUGAGAAAAAGACAAAAUAAUAGGAAAACAGCAAAGGAUAUAAAUAGGCAGUUCUCUGAAUAAGAAUUACAAAUGGUCAAUAAACAUAUGUAAAGACGCUCAAUAUGAAAAGAUGCUUAACCUCACUAGUAAUCAAGGAAACAAGAAUUAAAAUAAGAUAAGUUAGGUAUAUAUUUUUAAGCCAGCGGAAUAGGGAAACUAUAACAGACUACUAUAACCUAAUGUUAGUCAGCCGGGAUGGGAGGAAAUGUGGGAUAUUUGAACAAGCUGUGACGGGAGCAUGACUUGGUAGAACCACUUUGGAGGACAAGAAUCUAGUAAAUUUUAAAAAGUGUUUACACCAUGACCCAGCAAUUCUAUGUCCCAAUAUCCAUCCUAGAAAAACACACACACCAGGGAAGACAUGAUUAAAGAUAUUCAAUGAAGUAUUGUUUGUGAUAGCUCUGGAAAUAAAUAAAUAUCCAUCAGCUAGAAAUAACCAAACAUUCAACAGCGUUUACAUACAACAGCGUAUAUGUAGUACUCUUUUUUUUUUUUUUUUUUUGAUAUGCUGCGACUGAGCCCCCUGCAGUGGAAGCACGGAGUCUUGAUUAACCCCUGGACCACCAGGGAAGUCCCUGUAGUACUGUUUUAAAUACUUAUUAACGUGCAACAACUAAGCCCAUGCACCACAACUACUGAGCCUGCGCUCUAGAGCCCGUGAGCGACAACUACUGAACCCGUGUGCCACAACUACUGAAGCCCAUGCGCCUAGAGCCCGUGCUCUGCAACAAGAGAAGCCACCGCGAUGAGAAGCCCGCACACCACAACGAAGAGUAGCCCCCGCUCUCCGCAACUAGAGAAAGCCUGCGCACAGCAACAAAGACCUAACAC